rnacentral:rRNA from 1 species
GACGAACGCUGGCGGCGUGCCUAAUACAUGCAAGUCGAACGCAGUGGGGACGGGUGAGUAACACGUGGGUAACCUCCCAUCAGCGGGGAUAACACUUGGAAACAGGUGCUAAACCGAUACUGAUGGAUGGACCCGCGGUGCAUUAGCUAGUUGGUGAUGUAACGGCUCACCAAGGCCACGAUGCAUAGCGGACCUGAGAGGGUGAUCAGCAACACUGGGAAUGAGACACGGCCCAGACUCCUACGGGAGGCAGCAGUGGGGAAUAUGGCACAAUGGGCGCAAGCCUGAUGCAGCCAUGCCGCGUGUAUGAAGAAGGCCCUAGGGUUGUAAAGUACUUUCAGUCGGGAGGCGUUACCGACAGAAGAAGCACCGGCUAACUCCGUGCCAGAAGCCGCGGUAAUUC